GUGGCAAUAAAUUUUUUCUAAACACACUAAUCUUUCGCCUUUUACUAAAGAUUACCGUGGGGAGGGACACUCCAAUGAGCCUAUAGGCCAAUUUUUGGGUGGCCUUACCCGUUUGGGUGGGGC
rnacentral:snRNA from 1 species